rnacentral:rRNA from 1 species
CAACCUUUGGUCACUUUAGAAGGAAGUAAAAGUCGUAACAAGGUUUCCCGUAGGUGAACUUGCGGAAGGAUCAUUA